GUUAGGAUGGCAGAGCCUGGUUAUGGCGUAAAAAUUAAACAUGUUUAAACAGAGGUUCAACUCUUCUUCUUAACA
rfam:Loxodonta africana unplaced genomic scaffold scaffold_79, whole genome shotgun sequence.